GGAACCGUGGUGUAGUUGGUCUAACACGCCGGCCUGUCACGCCGGAGAUCGCGGGUUCGAGUCCCGUCGGUUCCGCCA
rnacentral:tRNA from 1 species